GGAAACACUCCCCCCACACACACACACGGACACGCCGGCUCACAGCGACAUGUCCCCGGCCCCGCACAGCCGCUGGUCCGGCCUGCUAGGUCUGCGCCCAGAAAGAUCAGGGAGGGGCAGAGGACCCAGCCCCCAAACUGCCCCCAGCAGCGCUUUCGGUGGGGACAGAACCGGAAACUGAGAGGGGAAAGGCCGAGCCGGCUGCAGGAGAACGUUCGCCACGCAGCAUCGUCGCCCUCCAGGGAAUGAGGAGCAGCAAUAGCCAGAAACCCUCAACAGUCACACGAACGGACGCUGGGAGAAAUGAGCAGAACCAGGGGAGCAUCGUACAGCAAAGUAGCGCGUUCGAGGCUCGGCCGCGACAGGUCCGGCGUUCUCAGCAACGCAGGGGCCGAGUCCCCAGCCAAAGCUCAGGAGGAGCGCCGCCGCCCCCUCCCAGAGAGGGGCGGGGAGGCCCGCCUGCCCACCGAGGGGCUGCUCUCCCUUUCCUUAGGUUCCCCUUUGUUCUCGCUUCUUUCUCAAGAUGACUAGUGUGGAAAUCUGUUAAACACGCCUGUACACAUAUAACCCUUUAUCAGAUUGCCUGCUGUCUCAGGGAGGGGGAGGCAAGAGAGGGAGGGAGGAAAAAUGAACGCUGGAGCUACCUUUACGUGUAAUUGGAAACAACAAACUACUAUUUAUCAGGUAAAAUAAAAGAGAAGCGAUAUUCUCUCUUAUCUCUUGUAGUAGUGCUAAAAGCACGUCAUAUCUCCAGUCUUUCUUCUAUUUCUGCCUCUAUUUAGAUUUCAAUUCUAUUUCUAUUUCCAUUUUCUCCGGCCACAUACCCUGACUGCCACCAAGACUACAAGGACCAUCAGCGGCCCUCACCUUGUUCCUCUCUUACAACGUCCGACAGUGUACAGAAUGUAACUGAAUGAAUGAAUGAAUGAAUGAAGGUGGGAAGGGCAAAGUGUACGGAAUAGAACACUGAAUGAAUGAAUGAAGGUGGGAAGGGCAAAGUGUACGGAAUAGAACACUGAAUGAAUGAAUGAAGGUGGGAAGGGCAAAGUGUACCGAAUAGAACACUGAAUGAAUGAAUGAAUGAACGAAGGUGGGAAGGGCAAAGUGUACGGAAUAGAACACUGAAUGAAUGAAUGAAUGAACGAAGGUGGGAAGGGCAAAGUGUACCGAAUAGAACACUGAAUGAAUGAAUGAAUGAACGAAGGUGGGAAGGGCAAAGUGUACCGAAUAGAACACUGAAUGAAUGAAUGAAUGAACGAAGGUGGGAAGGGCAAAGUGUACGGAAUAGAACACUGAAUGAAUGAAUGAAUGAACGAAGGUGGGAAGGGCAAAGUGUACCGAAUAGAACACUGAAUGAAUGAAUGAAUGAACGAAGGUGGGAAGGGCAAAGUGUACCGAAUAGAACACUGAAUGAAUGAAUGAAUGAAGGUGGGAAGGGCAAAGUGUACCGAAUAGAACACUGAAUGAAUGAAUGAAUGAACGAAGGUGGGAAGGGCAAAGUGUACGGAAUAGAACACUGAAUGAAUGAAUGAAUGAACGAAGGUGGGAAGGGCAAAGUGUACGGAAUAAAACACUGAAUGAAUGAAUGAAGGUGUGAAGGAAGAUGGGAGUAGGGCUGGAGAAGAAAAAAGAAGUUAGGUAGGAUUGAAGUUUGGGAGCAGGGAAAUAAGCCCGAAAAGGGAAUUUGCGGUACUGCCUUGAAUGCCUGAAUGAGAAGACCUAGACCAAUCCCCAACUUUGCCAGUGACAAGUCAUUUCAGUUUUCUGGGCCUCGAUUUCCCCACUAAUAAACUUUGGGGAUGAGGGAGGUUCCCUCCUGCUCUCGGCCCUUGCUCCCACACAGUCUCGGGUCCUUCCCCUUGAGCAGAGUGUCUGGUAUGUACGCGAUGUCAAACUCACACAGAAAGAUGUAAUGGGCUGAGGCUUGAGUUGAUGCACUGAGGUCUCAAGCAAAUGAGGCUAAAUAGUAAUUGGACCAUACUCUAUUAAUAUAUAAGCUUGGAGAAAGAAUGGCCCCCACCCACUCUUUGUGCAAGUCCUGAUGUUUUGUAUAGGAAAUGACGAUUUUGGUGGGUGGAGGCAGGGGAGUGGAAAAGGAAGGGGAAGGAGAGACUUUUUGAUAUUGCUUUGCCACGGUUUGCUCAGCUCACAUCUCUCUCUGCUAGCUGGCUUCCUGUUUGUUUCUCUUCUUCUUUUUGCUUUUUUUUGCUGACGUAGUUGGGGUUAAUUGACUUGCCCAUGGUCAUACAACCAGGAAUUGUUAAGUGUCUGAGGCUGGAUUUGAACUCAGGUCCUCUUGACUUCAAGGCUGGUGCUCUAUCCACUGAGCCAUCUCCUUUUCAGUCCACUCAGCAAAACGAAUUAUAUGCAAUCAUGUUAGCUCUCACUUAUUACCCAGGAGACAUAAAUAUAAUAUCUGAUUCAGCCUAUUCAGUAGGUGUGGUACAAAGAAUUGCCACAGCCCAAAUAAAAUUU